rnacentral:rRNA from 1 species
UACGUAGGGAGCAAGCGUUAUCCGGAAUUAUUGGGUGUAAAGGGUGCGUAGACGGGAAGGCAAGUUGGUUGUGAAAUCCCUCGGCUCAACUGAGGAAUUGCAACCAAAACUAUCUUUCUUGAGUGCAGGAGAGGAAAGCGGAAUUCCCAGUGUAGCGGUGAAAUGCGUAGAUAUUAGGAGGAACACCAGUGGCGAAGGCGGCUUUCUGGACUGUAACUGACGUUGAGGCACGAAAGUGUGGGGAGCAAAC